rnacentral:tRNA from 5 species
GGGCCUGUAGCUCAGUUGGUUAGAGCGCACCCCUGAUAAGGGUGAGGUCGGUGGUUCGAGUCCACCCAGGCCCACCA